GUGCAAGCCGUCCGCUGGUGAAACCGCGAAAGGCUCAUUAAAUCAGUUAUGGUUCCUUAGAUCGUGCCCACGUUACUUGGAUAACUGUGGUAAUUCUAGAGCUAAUACAUGCCGACAGAGUUCUGACCAGCGCCGAGCGGGCGCGCACAUAUGCGCGCCGCCGCGCGCACGGAAGGAACGCUCUUAUUAGAUCAAAACCGGCCAAGCGGGGUCGUUGCUUAACGCGUGUGUGCGCUGCCACGUGUAUGCGUCCCCCGUAAGUGGCCCGCGCAAAGACUUGACGACUCUGAAUAAUUUCUAGCUGAUCGCACGGUCGAAACGUUUUAUUCCGCAAAUGAAAAACAGCACCGGCGACGUAUCUUUCAAAUGUCUGCCUUAUCAACUGUCGACGGUAGGUUCGACGCCUACCGUGGUGGUAACGGGUAACGGGGAAUCAGGGUUCGAUUCCGGAGAGGGAGCCUGAGAAACGGCUACCACAUCCAAGGAAGGCAGCAGGCGCGCAAAUUACCCACUCCCAGCUCGGGGAGGUAGUGACGAAAAAUAACGAUACGGGACUCAUCCGAGGCCCCGUAAUCGGAAUG
rnacentral:rRNA from 1 species